rnacentral:lncRNA from 1 species
GAGGCUGUAGCUCUGCGGGUCCGUGCUGGGCGCGAUGGCGGACUGGGCUCGGGCUCAGAGCCCCGGCGCUGUGGAGGAGAUUCUAGACCGGGAGAACAAGCGGAUGGCGGACACCUUGGCCUCCAAGGUCACCAGGCUCAAGUCGGUCAGUGAGGGAGGGUGGAGGCCUGGAAGGGGUCCAGAUAGUUCUCUCUUUGUCCCGUACAUGGCAGCACUCACCUGUGCUGGCCCAGGUGACAUUUGGAUCUCCUGACCUCUGCUGAUGCCCUGGCCUUGGACAUUGAUAGGGAUGUGGAGGACCAGAACCGGUACCUGGACGGCAUGGACUCGGAUUUCACGAGUGUGACGGGCCUCCUCACGGGGAGUGUGAAGCGCUUUUCCACAAUGGCGAGAUCUGGGCGAGACAACCGGAAGCUUCUCUGUGGUGUGGCCAUGGGCCUGAUCGUGGUCUUCUUCAUCCUCUCCUACCUCCUGUCAAGGGCAAGGACGUGAGCCAGUGGGAACUGGUUUCUGUAGGUACCUGGGACAACCAGGGUCUUCCUCUGCCUUGUGUCCUGGGCUCCAGAAGAUCUACCUACAAAAUACCCCUUCGAAGUGAUGAGCAUGGCUUAGGAAUCUUUUUCCUGUGUGGCUGGGAGCCUCUGACCCAGUAAGCUCAUGUUAGCUGGUCCCAUGUGUGCAAGGGGCCCAUCCCCAUUGGGUAACCAAGGCCCAGCUUCCUCUGCCAUCUUGGGUGCUAGAAGCCCUAGCAGAGCCAGGUUGGAGCAGAGCAGCUGGGAAUCCUGGACGUGACCACCUGUGACCAGCAGCCCUUCCCCCAGCCCUCAGGGUUCUGAUGUAUUGAGGCUUCUCUGCUUGGUCUUGGUCUGGAUAAGGCCACGUCUGGUAUUCGAGGUGCCCAGAGCCGACACAGGAAGGGGUGCGACUGUGAACCUCGAAUCAUUGCUGUCACUUUCAGCCAAGGGUCCUCAAACCAGAGAUGGCCGUUGCUCCUGGCCAGGGCUGCCGGGCACUGGUGGACCAGCAAGAGUCAAGGGUCCUGCCGAGAGGUGUCUGCCUGCCGUCCAACCCCAUGGCUGGAGCCCGACCCUCAGGGAAGGGCAGUGGCCAUGCGUGGAGAAGUGAACUGCAGCAUUGGCUGAAGACGCGGGCCCAGGUCCUCCUGGUCUCCCUGUGUCCAGGAGCAGAAACUGACCUUUUCUCAGGAUUCAGGGUCUGUCCAGCACCGAGACACGUUUCCAGGAGCCCAGAUCUCUAGAAAGAGGCUCAUCUGGCAUGUCAGAGUCAGGCAGGGUGUGAGCAGGGGCCUCUGUGGGUACAGCCUGGAGGCUUCCAGGUAACAGCUUUUCAUAGGAUCUGUAGGUCGCUUUUUGAGGGUCCGCGGACAGUUUCCACCGAGUCUGGCCCUUCCACCUACAGUAUCUGCCCAUCUCUCCUUGGGCCCUCAGUGCCCACUGGUCAGUCUCCUGCUCACACAAGGUGAACUGCAGUUUCUUCCAAACCAAUGGGUCUUUCUACCCCACUGUGAGAUCUCAGUGUCUUCCCAUGAAAACACCUGUAAGAAACGAGUCAUCAGCUCUGUCCUUCCCGUCUUUUGUUCCAGUUCUCUGUCUUCCUGGUCACUCCCCUUCACUCUCUGAGGGCUACCGGCUCACCGGCCAUCUUCACACAUACACAUGUGGUCAUAUGUCAGCCACAGCCUGUGCCUCUCGACUCCUGCCACCCCACCCUGCUCUGGUCUCUGGCCCUGGGCACCUCACCUUCUGGCCCUGCUGCUCCUGCUCCUCCUCUCUCUCUCCUUUGUUCUCCACCGAGCAGGCCUGGCUUGUCUCACACUCACCAUAAUGCCCUUCUCUUUUCCACUGCGCCUGGUUGGGCCUCAGCCUUCUGGAAGGGGAGCGUGCUACCUUCUCAUUUCCGAGUGCUCUGUUCUUACUGCCUCCAUCCCUCCAGUGUGUGCUUGUUUCUCACUCGGUGAGGUCCGCUUCCUUGCCUCCAUGGCUUCGACUCAGCCGUCAGCUCAUCUCAUGUUGAAAUUUGUCACAGGGACGUGCCUACUGUUCAUGAAGCUCAGCAGCUGCUGCCGUGUCGUGUUUCCAUCGGGUCACCACAGGCACGGCAGACACAUCAGACCUGAGUGUGGCAGCCGCCUGUUCUGGGCCUGCUAACCUGGCUUCCUGAGAAUAUGGCUCAGCCAUGGCUGUUGCUCCCCCCAGGAUGCUCUUACCUGCUGUGCCCACUCGUCUUGCCAGUGCAGACCAGGAAUUGAGGAUUUGCCUUUCAGAAUGACUGUCUCAAGAAGUGCUCUGCCCCCUCCGAGACCUCUGGUUGCUGUGUUCUCUCCUUGGGUCCCCACCUCUGCCUCCCCACUUCAUUUCCAUGGCUCUUGGCAGCUCUUCCAGCUAUUUUGGGGUCUGGGUUUUUGUCUCUGUCUGGUUUACUUUUUUGUUGCAUUAGGCUGAGUUCCUGAAUGCUGCUGCCACCACGUCGGCAGGGUUUUCUGUGGGGCCUGCACCCUUCUGCUCAGCCCUGUGCACUCAGCACCUCCUCCUGUGGAUAAGUGGGGUUUGCUAAGUGGCCCUUCAGACUAAAACAGAAGAGGCCUUGGAGUCCUCUGUGCCAAGGGAGGGCCCCAAGUCAAGGACAAGGCAUUUGGUCAUAAAAACUUGGAAUAAACAGAUUC